GUGAAAUGCGUAGAUAUCGGGAGGAACACCAGUGGCGAAGGCGAUCAUCUGGGGUUGUUCUGACGCUGAAGAGCGAAAGCUAGGGGAGCAAACGGGAUUAGAUACCCCGGUAGUCCUAGCCGUAAACGAUGGACACUAGGUGUAUGUGGUAUCGACUCCAUAUGUGCCGUAGUUAACACAAUAGGUGUCCCGCCUGGGGAGUACGGCCGCAAGGUUAAAACUCAAAGGAAUUGACGGGGGUCCGCACGAGCGGUGGAGCAUGUGGUUCAAUUCGACGCAACGCGAAGAACCUUACCGGGGCUUGACAUCUGCGGACAUUCCAUGAAAGUGGACUUCGGAGCAAUCCGACCGCAAGACAGGUGCUGCAUGGCUGUCGUCAGCUCGUGCCGUGAGGUGUUGGGUUAAGUCCCGUAACGAGCGCAACCCUUGUCGUGUGUUGGUCCACAAGAUCUCUCACACGAGACCGCCGGUGAGAAGCCGGAGGAAGGUGGGGAUGACGUCAAGUCAGCAUGGCCCUUACGUCCCGGGCUACACACGUGCUACAAUGCGCGCGACAGCGAGCCGCAAACUCGUGAGAGUAAGCCAAUCUCUGAAACGCGCGCUCAGUUCGGAUUGAAGGCUGCAACUCGCCUUCAUGAAGUCGGAAUCGCUAGUAAACGCAGAUCAGCUACGCUGCGUUGAAUACGUUCCCGGGCCUUGUACACACCGCCCGUCACGUCACCUGAGUUUAGUGUACCCGAAGCCGUCCGUGUAACCCGCAAGGGAACAAGACGUCUAAGGUAUGCUAGGUAAGGGGGACGAAGUCGUAACAAGGUAACCGU
rnacentral:rRNA from 1 species